rnacentral:rRNA from 1 species
CAGCAGCCGCGGUAAUACGUAGGUCCCGAGCGUUGUCCGGAUUUAUUGGGCGUAAAGGGAGCGCAGGCGGUCAGGAAAGUCUGGAGUAAAGGGCUAUGGCUCAACCAUAGUGUGCUCUGGAAACUGUCUGACUUGAGUGCAGAAGGGGAGAGUGGAAUUCCAUGUGUAGCGGUGAAGUGCGUAGAUAUAUGGAGGAACACCAGUGGCGAAAGCGGCUCUCUGGUCUGUCACUGACGCUGAGGAGCGAAAGCGUGGGGAGCGAACAGGAUUAGAGACCCCCGUAGUCCCUGUCUCUUAUACA